rnacentral:tRNA from 1 species
GGAGGCAGAAGAGUAACUGGUGUGCUUCCUGGUCUUCAAAACCAGUGUGGGGCGUGGUACGUCCCGGGUGGGUUCGAUUCCUACAUGUCUCCGCCA